CCUCCAUCUCUCUUUUGAUAUUCCUCCUUGUCCUUCCUGCAUUUCACCUUUUCACACUCAAAAGAGUCAAAACCUCAAACUACAACAACAAUGCGUGAGCCUGUACCAGACGACGUCGUGGAAGACAUCCUGGCUCGGCUACCUGUAAAAUCCUUAACCAGAUUUAGGUACGUUUCGAAAUCUUGUAACUCCAUCGUCACUGACACAACUUUCAUCAAAAAACACUUGAAGCUCAACCUCAACCAAUCCGAAUCAUCAAUAUCCGCAAACACUCACAGUGGGUAUUUGCUAUAUACUACAGAGGAUAAGGAUGGUUCAUCAUCUUCCAAAGAAUUGUGUACGGUUGUUCGCAACAAGGACCGCACAUGGACCCAGUUUUCUAGGUUUGAAAUCCCGUCUUUUUUUGACAAGUACAUGAUUUUUGCUUUCUGUAAUGGCUUGUUCUGCCUAGCUAGUUGUGAGAAAGAACUUUGUCACAUUAUUUAUUUGUGGAACCCAAGUAUUAGAAUGUGUAAGAAACUUGGAGCUACUCGCUUUAAUCGCAAGUAUAAUGAAAGAGCCGCUUUUGGGUUUGCUUAUGAUUCUCUGAACAACGACUUCAAGAUUCUGAGAGUUGUGUGUCAUGCGAUGUUCAAUGAAUCAGAAGCUGAAGCAGAGAUUUACACGUUAAGUUCAGAUUCGUGGAGGAAGGUUGUAAUAUCAAUGCAGUCCUUAAGAGGGUGUGAAGUGACUGAACCCAAACUUGGGACUAUUUUUGGUGUUUGGGGUCCCUUUACAUUUUAUAAUGGGGCUCUGCACGCUUUUGCUCAUACUAUUGGCUAUUCUUUCAUUUUGUCCUUUGACAUUAGUGAUGAGAGCUUCCAUGAGAUAAUGAUGCCUCGUAAUCACUAUGAUUCAGACGCUACAAAUUUCACUAAACUUGCAGAGUACAAGGGAUUGCCAGCUGAUUUUGUUUUCGCUCUUGAUGAUGGCAAUAAGCCUUUUGGGAGAAACUUAUGCAACAUAUGGGUUAUGGAGAAGUACGGUGUGGCCAAGUCUUGGACUAGAAAAUUUGUGAUACCAAUGGAAUGGGUUUGGGCAGGUAAUUUCUUUGGCUGCACUAACAAUGGUGAACUUCUCAUUAAGAAUGCCACUGGGCUGGUUUCAAUUGACCCUGAGAGUCAAAAUCAGAACAUUCUCGACAUUGAAGAUGCUAAUUGGGUGGCUUUCUCAACUAAUUCAAUGGAGAGCUUGGUUUUACUUGAUGGGGGCUCAUUCAUCACUCAGAAUGUUUACACAGAGAGAGAGAGAGAGGAGGAGGAGGAGAAAAAGAACUCCAAUGUUUGCUCCAUGGAUGACCUAGGCGGUGCUUCGGGCAGCGGUGGUGGCCUAGACAGUGGCAGCAGUGGCGAUUGCCACAGCAGGGCGACUUAAUAAAAAUUAAUUGGAAAAAUCCUUGGUCUCAUUAGGUUCCUUUACACUGGUGGUUAGUGAUUAUAUUUCUGCUAGCAAGAGCAGUUUUGAGUGGCAAAGCUUUAUAAAGAAGCUGCCACUAAAGAGAUCAAGGAUUAUCUUAAUCCUUGAAUUUUCUUAUAUAGUUAUAUAGUUAUCUAUGUGUUUGGAGAACACUCAAUUUAGGGAUGAACACAAUUUACUUUCGUAAAAUUAAGACAUAAAUUGUUGCUCUGUUUUUCAUACAUAAUAGAUGUAAAAAUAGUAUUUCUAUCUAAAUUAUGGGCAUAAGUUUUUUUGCAUUGGAAUUAGAUGUUACUGUUACAAAGUUCAUAAACCUAAACCAACAUUUUGUUCUUGGAACUUGAUGUGCUCUAGGUAAAAUAAUUCUUUUAAGAAUAUGUUAAGAAAUAGAGCUGAGCUAAUGAUUCUUUGUACAGAACGUAGUAAUGGUAAGCAUCUAAAAGGAUGCUUAGUUUUGCUGUGAUUUUCUUUUGUUCAUUCACAAAAUGCUUUUUGGACUCUCCUCUAAUAGCAAACAAAACUGAGUCUAGGAAAGAUUUGAAAACUAGAAACAUACUUGGUCUAUGGUAGUACACCCUAGAACACAUCAAACUUGGGUCUAUAGUGAUACUUCUGCCGAGCAAUAGCCAAUGCAUGCUUUACACGCUAAAUAUCUUAAAACCUUAGUUCCUUUUAGAAAGCAGUUUCUCCUUGAUGUUAGUAAGAGAAAUACAACAAUGUAGGGCAAGAACAAAAAUUUUGGUAUGACAAAACUCAACUUAUAGAUUUCUGUAGUUUGUAUUGGUAUCCUGGACAGGCAAUGUUGACACCAACCUAUUCCACUUCUAAGCUAAAAGAGAAUCUCCCAAAUCACAUACAUGAUGCAAUUGUUAUUUCAUAAUCUUGGCAAUCUUGUGAAAUGCAUGUGUCAGAAGGAGAAACACUAUAAACAGAACAAUUUUCACAAUAUUUCUCACAAAAAUUGAGCUGAGAGGUUUUUAUUGAUUUUUGUUUGGGCUAAUCACCAACAUCACUUUACUUUUUACCAUUAAUAACUUGCCACUUUAAUAUUUGUAUAUAUUUUGUGAAAAAAGGUUGUCUCUAGAGCUCUUGAAUGGGUAAAGAACCUUUCUGAGCUUAGUGGGAAAAGGCAGUUGGCAACCUCUUGGGAAAGAAGUUGCUUGUACAGUUGCUGGGUUUGGAGUUGUGUGUGCGUGGGUUUUUCCUUUCUAAGGUGAGAAGAUAUUGAAAGAGGGAGAGAUAAACAGAUCAUAAAGAAAGGGGAUUUGGUUCCAUUUUUGGUAUUUUUAGCUAACACACUAUAGGAAAAUAGACUAAUGAUGCAGACCUAUACACCAUAGACAAAACCAAUUUUGCCAAAAAGAAAAGCUGCCUCCUCCAUUCAAUUCCACCAAGCUGAGCUAUUUGAUUCAAAAGUAGUGACUAAUCUUUUGGACAUCAUUCUCACAAAGUUUUCAAUGCAACUGACAUCAAUUCAAUACACAAACAUGAAGUUCGUAUUGUUCUGCUGGAUGAGAAUGCUGAUGUGGAGGACUUAGACAAAGAUAAUGAGCUACAGUCUUCAAUCUCAAGUAAACAACAUUCAUUCCUAAAUAGGUGGUCACCUUGUGUGAUAUGGCGAUGUCAACUUAUGAAGGUUUUACGACUUAAGACAAUGGAUGCUUGAGAACCUAAACCUUUGGUAGAGUAAGAAGUGUGGACCAGAAACAGAAUUAGAAGUAUAAGGAGUGAAGAGAGAGAUCAAUUUUUAUGACAUAUAAUAAUAUUUUUUCAUUAUUUCAUGACAUAUAAUAUAUGUGUUUGCUUCAAUUGGAAUUUAUUGUAGAUGUGAGAUUUAUAUUAUGGGUGAAAGCUAUAGUAGGUUCUAUACUUGAUCUUAUAUCACUAUUCAACGUACUGGCUAGAACAUGCCUUGCACAUGCGGCCCAAACUAGU